UACGUAGGGUGCGAGCGUUAAUCGGAAUUACUGGGCGUAAAGCGUGCGUAGGCGGUUCUCCAAGUCCGUUGUGAAAGCCCCGGGCUCAACCUGGGAAUGGCAUUGGAAACUGGCGAGCUUGAGUGCGGCAGAGGGGGGUGGAAUUCCGCGUGUAGCAGUGAAAUGCGUAGAGAUGCGGAGGAACACCGAUGGCGAAGGCAGCCCCCUGGGUCGACACUGACGCUCAGGCACGAAAGCGUGGGGAGCAAACAGG
rnacentral:rRNA from 1 species